GUGAAUCAUCGAAUCUUUGAACGCAUAUUGCGCUCUUUGGUAUUCCGAAGAGCAUGCUUGCUUGAGUAUCAGUAAACACCUCAAAACUCUUGAUCUUUUUCAAGCGUUUUGGACUUGAGCAAACCCAACGCCUUUUCUUUUAAGAUCUGUUGCGGCGGGUUGCUUGAAAUGCAGGUGCAGCUGGACAAUCUCCUGAGCUAAAAGCAUAUUUAUUUAGUCCCGUCAAACGGAUUAUUACUUUUUGCUGCAGCUAACAUAAAGGGAGUUUUGACCAUUAUGGCUGACUGAUGCAGGAUUUCACAGAGAAAAGGCCGGCAACGGUUUUGUCUCUGUCAAACUCGAUCUCAAAUCAAGUAAGACUACCCGCUGAACUUAAGCAUAUCAAUAAGCGGAGGA
rnacentral:rRNA from 1 species